rnacentral:misc_RNA from 1 species
GAGGCUUUUCCAUUAGUUCUU